CCCAAGCCCAUGCUCUUUCCACUAAGCCAAGCUGCUUCUCAUACUAGUGGCUCAGUGGAAAGAGCACGGGCUUUGGA
rnacentral:pre_miRNA from 1 species